UACGUAGGGUGCAAGCGUUGUCCGGAAUUAUUGGGCGUAAGGAGCUCGUAGGCGGUUUGUUGCGUCGGCUGUGAAAUCCCGAGGCUCAACCUCGGGUCUGCAGUCGAUACGAGCAAACUAGAGUGUUGCAGGGGAGACUGGAAUUCCUGGUGUAGCGGUGAAAUGCGCAGAUAUCAGGAGGAACGCCGGUGGCGAAGGCGGGUCUCUGGGCAACAACUGACGCUGAGGAGCGAAAGCGUGGGGAGCAAACAGG
rnacentral:rRNA from 1 species